GACGAACGCUGGCGGCGUGCCUAAUACAUGCAAGUCGAACGCAGUGGGGACUGGUGAGUAACACGUUGGUACCGUCCCAUCAGAGGGGAUAAAACUUGGCAACAGGUGCUAAACCGAUACAGAUGGAUGGACCCGCGUGGCAUUAGCUAGUUGGUGAGGUAACGGCUCACCAAGGCCACGAUGCAUAGCCGACCUGAGAGGGUGAUCGGCCACACUGGGACUGAGACACGGCCCAGACUCCUACGGGAGGCAGCAGUAGGGAAUUUUCGGCAAUGGACGAAAGUCUGACCGAGCAACGCCGCGUGAGUGAAGAAGGUUUUCGGAUCGUAAAACUCUGUUGUUAGAGAAGCGGUAUCUAACCAGAAAGCCACGGCUAACUACGUGCCAGCAGCCGCGGUAAUAC
rnacentral:rRNA from 1 species